GACGAACGCUGGCGGCGUGCUUAACACAUGCAAGUCGAACGGAAAGGCCCUGCUUUUGUGGGGUGCUCGAGUGGCGAACGGGUGAGUAACACGUGAGUAACCUGCACUUGACUUUGGGAUAACUUCAGGAAACUGGGGCUAAUACCGGAUAGGAGCUCCUGCUGCAUGGUGGGGGUUGGAAAGUUUCGGCGGUUGGGGAUGGACUCGCGGCUUAUCAGCUUGUUGGUGGGGUAGUGGCGUACCAAGGCUUUGACGGGUAGCCGGCCUGAGAGGGUGACCGGCCACAUUGGGACUGAGAUACGGCCCAGACUCCUACGGGAGGCAGCAGUGGGGAAUAUUGCACAAUGGGCGGAAGCCUGAUGCAGCAACGCCGCGUGCGGGAUGACGGCCUUCGGGUUGUAAACCGCUUUCGCCUGUGACGAAGCGUGAGUGACGGUAAUGGGUAAAGAAGCACCGGCUAACUACGUG
rnacentral:rRNA from 1 species